AACCUUAUGGACCUGCGGGCGUAUACCUGCGGAAGGAUCAUUAUAGAGUUUUCUAAACUCCCAACCCAUGUGAACUUACCUUUUGUUGCCUCGGCAGAAGUUAUAGGUCUUCUUAUAGCUGCUGCCGGUGGACCAUUAAACUCUUGUUAUUUUAUGUAAUCUGAGCGUCUUAUUUUAAUAAGUCAAAACUUUCAACAACGGAUCU
rnacentral:misc_RNA from 1 species